UGCAUGUGUUGUAUCGAGUGUGUGGUUAAAUAGCCAAUAUAAUAGUUUUAACAUAUAAAUCUUAUAAUUAAUGUCCAUGCUUUCACGUCGCAUGGUUAACUAUGUUAAUUAUGUUCGGACUCAUCCAAACUUCCGAUCUGCUCACACACUCGGUUGUAUGUGUCUUGCCCUUUCGGUCCUUUAGCCUGCAUCCGCACGCUCCUAUACUUCGGUGUUUUCUGGCCACCUUGUACCUUUUUGUCCUCCUGGACGGUGUCUCCGGGUUCCUGGGGUCCCCGGCACUCAUAGUUGGUCCCCGGCUUCAAGGUUAGGUUGGGAACUGAGUCUAAGUCCACUGACAGAUAAGUGCUCCAAAGUGGAAGAAAACGGUUGGCAAAUGUGUUUUGAAGGAUUGCGCGUCGAUUGGUGUAAUAAUAAUUUUUGUUUCAAUUUUUAAUUUAUAAUUAUAAGAAUAAAUAUAAAUCGAGCCACGAGGUGUGCGCGUCAUAGAGAGCUUAAUCACUCUAUCAGCGAUGUGAUAAAGGCUGUGCAUAUUAAAUUUCGGGCCCCAGCGCGACUCCCGAGUCCGUGAUUUAGUGUAAAUUCUAGGUGGUAUAGUUUUGUAUUGUUGUGUUGUAUAAUUAAAGCUAAAUUAUUAAUAUUCGUGUAACGUGUACAAAUGCAAGAUGUCGGAGAGCCGUUGAGCCACGUCAUGCUGCGUGACGUCACGUUGACGUGGAUUAACGAUCGUCUCUUCGGACCGUCGUCGGAUUAUCUCUAGAUGCAAUUUCAUGAAUUGUGAAUAUCUAUUAUGAUUUCUGGUCGUGCUAUAUGCUGAAUUAAAGUGAGUAAUACAAGAACCACGCCCUCUCAUCACAAUGCUGUGUCAACGUGAAUGCAGUGUGUCUCCUGUCGAGAGGAAGUCCUGGUUCAGGGAAAUGAAAGAAAUAACUCUCUGAUGACAUUCUUAAGCAGUCUGAAACUGCCUCCUGAUACUGAGUUUGUGGGGCUGUUCUAUUUACUUGACACCGCCAUGUUGGAUUUUCCCAACAUGUGGCAAGUGCCGAUUAAUACUUCCGUCGAGCUUGGCGAGGCUUUGAGCCUCGUAUUAAUAAAAGAACAGCAACCUGGUGAUCGCCUGACUACCUACAGCGUAUACGGAAGGAACGGGCUGCGGGCUCCCGGUAAUGUAUGGAAACCUAUGGAAAUCUUUGGAAGCCUGUGGAAAUCCUAACCUGCAUGGGCAAAGUGUGAUGAUAACGUCUGAUAGCUAAGGGAUCAUAUGGUCUGCAAUAAAGUGUACACGCAGGUGCUGCACCGUGUGGUAUUUAUAACGUGGUGGAUAUGAGGGAUGGUGAAUACACCCGAGAUUCAUCACCAUAAUAAAAAGAGGUGAAGGAAAUCCCCAUACUUGGUCUGCACAUUCACCGAGUAUUGCGGAGACGCAUGUAUGCAGUAUAUCUCCCUGAGGAAAGAAUUGUAAUUGUAUUUGUGUCUGGGUUGGCUCGUGGAUUGUGCAUAUUGGAUGUCUGGGGAAGAAAUUGACCGGAAGAGCAUUGUAGCCUGUGACGUGGUGGACAUAAGAGAAUACCCGAGAGUCAUCACUCUAAUAUGGAGGUGGUGGAAUCUCUUGUCUGGAUCUGUGUAAUCGUUGGAUACCACGGAGUGACGGGUGUAUGCGGUGUUUCUUCCAAAGAACUGCGAUGAUGUUUAUGUGCAUGUUGAAGUGGGAAUAAUAAAAGUAAACGCCUAUGGAUAUGAAUGGCAAUUAAAGCGAAUUAAUUGGCUUGUAUCUCGGGAGUGUUUUGACGCGCAAGUCUCUUGAGUGGAGUUAUAUAUCUUUUCAUUUAUAUAAUAACAGCGGGAUAAAAGUUGAGGCAGUUGGAUUAUAAAUUAGUGAUCCUAAGUACAUUAAAGUGAAUCGUGCUAGGUAAAUCUGUCUGAUGUAUAUUGUAAUCACUGAUUUUAAGUUUAUAACGGAACUAAUAUCACGUAUUAAUGGAUAAAUCAAUAUUAAUUGAUAAUUGUUGAUCGACUGCUGCCAUUAAUGAAAUUUAAAAUUUAGUAGUAAUACUCCUAAAAAGGGGGUCUAAUUAAACACCAUAAGAAUUUAUCCGCUCGAAAGAUUGCGAAAGACUGUCGAAGCAUAAUAUAUGAUAAUUCAAAGAUUGAGAUUAAGAUAUACUGCUGAAAUGCGGAGUGAACGUUUGGUAACCCGCUGAUAUUGCGGGAUAUUCUAUGUAUUAAGUAUCAUUAGAAUAGGCGUGUACUGGAUAUGAUAUUUAUGUAUUAUAAUAUGAUACAAUAUGUGUGCAGAUAUAAUGUUUGUGUUGUAUAAAUGUGUGAAUAUGCAUAUUAGAUGCUCAUAAAUAUGACUGAUUGCUAAAGAGAAACUAAGCAACAGAAUUGGCCUGUAUUUGAUGGAUAUGUACAAAUCGUUUGAGUUAUCUGUAUUUUGUUAUAACAGUGGAGAUAAUAUUGUUGAUAUAGCUUAUAAAGUAAUGAUUUAGAAGACGCGAAUGUGAUUUGCAGAAUAGCAUCCACUGAGAUAAGAAAUACUUUGUCAUAGAUCGUGGGUAUAGAUAUAAUAUCCACUAUAAGGACAUAUCCGCUAUAAGGGCAUAUCCACUAUAAGGGCAUAAAAUUUUAAGGCAAAAAGAGCAUUAAUAGCGACUUAAUCGGAGUGCGAAAACUUAAAAAAAAUUGAUAGAUAAUUAAAAUGAUGAAAUUGAUUAAUUGAGUAAUUGAGUAACUAGAUUAAAAUUAAAAUUGAGAUUGGUUGAUUGAUUAAUUAAUCAAAGGAAUUAUUAAAAUACAAGUAAUUACGAUCAUAUUAAACGAGGAGGUGGUGUGUAAGGGGGUUCCAGGGCUGCACGCGGGGUGUUGUACUCAUGGAGUGUGACCGUGCCCUCGGGCGCACUACUCGUCGCGUGCAGAUUUCGAAUCAACCCUGAAUUAAUCGUUGCUACUAAGC